GCUACCCGUUUGGAUACAUUUUUGUUUAUAAGAUCUGAGGAGUUACCUCCCUUUAAGUACUAUUUUCAUUGUACAUAUUUCCUUACAUUCAAGGCUUCGUAUGCGAGUUACUGCCCUUAGUGGAACUCUUUUUCGUCAUUAUUGUGAACAGUCGGCCAUUACAACGAUGAAGCACGUUGUUUUGAUUCCUAUUGAAAUGUAGAUAUAGGCUUGGUCGAGCCAUGAAUUCUUCACUAUUACAAGUAUAACAAGAAAAGAGGUUAUUAGAGGACUAUUACCAUUACUGUAAUACUGAGGUUAAAGUUCAAGUCUUUUCAUCAUGAUCACCAGAUUUAUGUUGUCCUGGAUAAUUUGGAUGGAAAUCGACUACAAUAAAACCAAUACCAACACGUA